rnacentral:lncRNA from 1 species
ACUAAAAAACAACAAUAUAAAUUUAUUGUUAUAAAACAACAUUAAUUAUGAUUCCUAUAAUACAGAUUACCGAAAUAACUAAAAGACUCUAAGAAGGCAUGUAAGUAAUAUGCCAUGUGGCUUCCAGCAAAGCUAUGACACUGAACAAUUGAGUUUAAGUAGAUGUAGUGUAGAUUAAAAUUAGCAACACAGUUCGUAGGGUAAAAAACAGUAGAGGAGAAAUAGUUAUAGCAUAGUAGAAUGAGAAGGAAAACAAUAUACCUUUGGCAUCUUUAGUCCCUGACGGGUUCAAACCUUUCCGAGGUCAAAAUUGGACCAAUGAAUUUCGAGCCAAAAAAUUUAAAAAGACAGAGGACUAUUGCCUGAACGAAUUAGAAACAAGUAACAUGAAGGAAGAUAUAAAUAUUAUGUAUUUAUAGUGCUGAUUCUACCAUAUAUAGGCAAACAAAUUCUAAAGUAUUGGAACAUAGAAUACAAAUAACUCUGACGAAUCUUAUCAAGUUCCCUUGGAUCUGUUUGCAUUUUUGUCUUAUGAAUGUUAAAAUCAAGAGAAGUAAUUCUAGUAGGAGUUACUCUCGUAGGCAUUCCUUGACCUGCACGGCCUAUGUUUAGUCUUUAGUGCAUAGCCAUUUAGCAUGUAACUAUCCUUGAUGCUUUUACCGUGAGCUUUCAGAAUAUUUAUGCUCUGUAGAUCAGAUAAACCAGUAGUUACAAGCUAAAUUUAUGGAAAAGUUCGAUGAUAAGAAUAAUUAACACACAAACCAAGGAGAUUAAAAGACAAUCAUUUAUAGAAGUUGACCAUGUACUGAGCAGUCCAUCAUCAAGUGCAUAAAUCUCUAAUCAUUAGCCAUCACUGACCAUAAUUAUGUUCCUGUUUGUCAAGCUUGAUGGGUUACUUCUAAGAUAUUGAAAAAAGAAUGUGUUUUUAACUAAAUUAAUCUAGAACCAGGUCAAUUAACUAUGAACAUAACAGUAAAGGAUGGAUUUGCAUUCUGCUUAUCUGUAACCCAGUAGCAUAUGGAUUCAGGAUUUAGAGGCCUAAUAGAUGAAACUAACAUACUAAUAGAUGCCAAAAUUCUUGUACAACAGUGACACACAAUACCCAACUAAUCGAGAUGAAUAAGAUUUUAACAUUAUAAGUAUCAAUGUUGCCUUGGAAGGCCAGAAAUCAGCAGGUGGACUUGUCAAAGGCAAAAAAAAAAAUACAAGCUUUUAUAUCCUUUUCACAAAACCUGGCACUAUCUACCACAUUAGUAACUACCUUCAACUUAUGGCAUAUGAAGUGGACACUACCAACGAAUUUCAUUAGGCUGUAGAUAAACUGUUAGUAGUGAGCGACUGCCAUUUCUUGAAAGUUACGAAUGAAUCCACAUAGUUGGAAGCCAUUUACCCUACAAAACAACUUAAGUCAAUUCAUAAAAGAUGGGACCAAAAAAGAUGUAAAAAAAUCAUUUCAGUUCAGGUAACAAGAUGUAAGUAUUCAAACCUUUAUUGUUUCAAUUUUAGAACAACAUAUCUCAUGUUGACCCUUAUUAUCCUUAAGUUCAUUUGAGAUUGAUUGUAUCUGCAAAAUCGAAAUUGUAUCAACGAGAAUUCUAGGUAGAGUAGGAGAUUGAUUUAGUACCUCAAAACAGAUUAUGAUUCAGUAGAUGAACAGUUGAACUGCCCAAGGUUCAACUCAAAUGUGACUUUCUUUUGGAUGGUUCAAUUGUCCAAGGCUUCAUCUACUAUCCCAAUUUAUUAUCAAAUGACAAGACCAUAACAUGAGUUUCUAUUCUUGUUGAUUUCAAAAAAAAGUGGUGCAGUUAGUGUGAAUAAUAUAACUUAGAAGUGCCACUUUAAAUUUGUACCGAUACAACAAAACCACUAUGAAGAAUGAUUAAACAAAUGGGUACUUCUGUAGAGAAAAAGAGAGAAAGUUUACCUCUCUAUCAGUUCCUUUAAAUAUUCACAUGAUAUACCAUGGUUACAGUCCCAUUAUCAGAAUAGAUAAACUCACGAACUUCUCCACAGCAACCUGAAAAUAGGAAUCAUCAGUGACUUCUAUGUACACAGACCAUAGUUUUUGCAAGACACCAGCACCUAGUUAAACAGCUGCAGAAUGUUUCGAGAGAGUACAUAUGGUUGUGAUUCCAUUAUCCCCAGUCAUAACAACUGAAAUAUCCAACAGACAUACAUACAACAUCUGAGCAAUGAUUUAGACAAACAAUGACUUAAUGGGGUAAAACAUGAAACUUGAAAAAAAUUACAUGUCUGUGAAGUGAGGCAAGCUAUCUUCAGAUUCUCUAAAACAGGUGUGGCAUGGCAAAAGGCUAUGAGGUGGUUAUUAGCAUAGCUGAACACAAAAUCUGUGAACACACUAACAAAGUAACAAUAGAAUGCAUCCAAAAUACGAGCUUGAAAAACCUAUAUUGUAUGAUUAACCACAUAGGCAAGCACUAAAAACUACUCUAUAUGUUCAACUUAGCAUCUAGGCAAGCUAUGACACUGAACAAUUGAGUUUAAGUAGAUGUAGUGUAGAAUAAAAUGAGCAACAGUUCGUAGGGUAAAAAACAGUAGAGGAGAAAUAGUUAUAGCAUAGUAGAAUGAGAAGGCAAACAAUAUACCUUUGGCAUCUUUAGUCCCUAACGGGUUCAAACCUUUUCGAGGUCAUAAGGUAUUGAGUCAAAGAUAAGCGAUUGCCAAAUCCUAUAAAGUGAACAAUUUUGUUUCUCAGUAAAAUUGACAUUAUUUUUUUCAUGUCAAAUACUCAAAUCUGAAUACCAGAUUUCAGAUAUUUGAUAAAAUAUUCCUCAAGAUAUAUAUCACCAAACUGACUGAGAGGUUGAAUUCAAUUUAUUAUUUAUGGAGAAUAUAAUAACCAGUUAUUGAAAUAAGUGAUAUAAAACAUUAAACAUAAGAAAGAGCU